rnacentral:lncRNA from 1 species
GGCCGGUACCUGGGUUCCCGGCUAAGGAAAGCUGCCCUGGUUAUUAUCUGGUCACCUCACCGGCUGCGCAAACGUGUCCACAACGGGUCCCUCCCCGAGAGGCCACAUCUCGCCUAAGGUGGAGCCAGCAGGUAUUUGCCUGUGGAAAACUGCAGUGGAUCCUGCCCCGUCUGCGUAGACUGCGCAGCUCGGAGUCAAAGAUUCGUUCUGGCCAGAGAGGAGGUACUAAGAGAGGUGCGACCUAGCCAAGAACGAGGUCGUGGAGAAAACCCUGUGGGGGCGGCGCUCACAUAUGCGGUGAUGAGGAGUUGUGAGGGCCCUGGGGUCGGCCCCGAAAAGUAGGGAUAACGGUCGCAGAGGCCAUACUGCUUCCGCCGGUCCCGAAUCCGCACUGCCAGGAGAGAUCCGGCCUUCAAACGCUGCUCCCAACGUUCAACAACGAAGUGCCCUGCGACCGGUAAAACGACCUUCAGGAAUCAGCCUGAGUGUUCGCGCCCGAGCCCGAUUGGAAGCAGGUGCGUGGUCGCUUCACUCUCCCCGUGCACACCUUGAGUUAUAGCUCUCGCUGCGCACAGAGGGCACCACACGGGGCCCGACACACACACACACACACACACACACACACACACACACACACACACCAUCACUUCAUGGGGGGGAAACUGAGGCUGCCGGAAGACAGAAAACGAAGACUGAUCACAGAAGAGGGGGCUUCAAUCACAGGUGCUCGCAGACACCCCAACUCCCUCACGCGUUACUCAGCACUCCUUAACUUAGGAGACGUGCGCUUCCGAGAGAUGAGAAGAAACUAAAAAAGUGGUUGGCAGGGCGAAGAGAGGAAGCCGGUAUUUCGGAAGAAGGAGACUUUCGUCUCCGGUACCGGAUAGGGCGAAAAUUCGUUGGGUCGCGGGUGGAGAAUCCGGGGUCCGCCCGCGCGGUGCCGCCCUGUGCUCAGCGAAAGGUGCGCUCACCUUCCUGGCCCCGAGGAUCCGCUCCUCCCGGCCGCUGGAAAGCUCAGGGCGGGGCCCGGGCCUGCGGAGAACUCCAGGUUCCUUCCGAGUCUUCCGGUGAAGGCGGGCGCGGGUAGGGGGUCCCCGCGUUUCCCCAGCGCAAGGCCGCGUCCCGCUCCCGCCCGCGCCGGCCCCAGCAGGGCUCGGCCAUGGCUCCACUCACCAGCUCCCGCCACCUGGGAUCCGCUCCCGGACCUCGGCCGCCCGAGCCUCCCGACUCGCCCGCCCACCGGCCUCGCUUUCCAGUGCCUGCUGUCUCUUUCCGGGGCGCAGGGACCCCCAGGCGGCGCCACGACCCGGAGCUGGGUCGGAGGCCAGGCUGGGGCUCGGGCCAGAGCGGCCGGGCCUCUGGGCGCGGGAGAAGGAGGGCGCCCCCUCUCCGCU